rnacentral:rRNA from 1 species
UACGUAGGGUGCAAGCGUUAAUCGGAAUUACUGGGCGUAAAGCGUGCGCAGGCGGUUUUGUAAGUCUGACGUGAAAUCCCCGGGCUCAACCUGGGAAUUGCGUUGGAGACUGCAAGGCUAGAAUCUGGCAGAGGGGGGUAGAAUUCCACGUGUGAGCAGUGAAAUGCGUAGAGAUGUGGAGGAACACCGAUGGCGAAGGCAGCCCCCUGGGUCAAGAUUGACGCUCAUGCACGAAAGCGUGGGGAGCAAACAGG